rnacentral:rRNA from 1 species
CCCUUAGAUGUUCUGGGCUGCACGCGUGCUACACUGAUAUUGCCAAUAUGUCAUUCUUAUCCGAAAUGGAUUGGGUAAUCAAGUAAUGAAAUCUCAUGCUUGGAAUCGGUAAUUGCAAUUUUAUCGUGAACGAGGAAUUCCUAGUAAGCACUAGUCAUCAGCUAAUGUUGAUUAUGUCCCUGCCCUUUGUACACACCGCCCGUCGCUACUACUGAUUGGGUGUUCAAGUGAGAUGCUUAGACCCUUGUUGCAUGGUUCAUUAUUGUGCUCCGAAAGGAAAAAGUUUCAAGCUUGAGUGUCUAGAGGAAGUAAAAGUCGUAACA